UAAUACCGUAUAACAAUCGAAACCGCAUGGUUUUGAUUUGAAAGGCGCUUUCGGGUGUCGCUGAUGGAUGGAUCCGCGGUGCAUUAGCUAGUUGGUGAGGUAACGGCUCACCAAGGCGACGAUGCAUAGCCGACCUGAGAGGGUGAUCGGCCACAUUGGGACUGAGACACGGCCCAAACUCCUACGGGAGGCAGCAGUAGGGAAUCUUCGGCAAUGGACGAAAGUCUGACCGAGCAACGCCGCGUGAGUGAAGAAGGUUUUCGGAUCGUAAAACUCUGUUGUUAGAGAAGAACAAGGAUGAGAGUAACUGUUCAUCCCUUGACGGUAUCUAACCAGAAAGCCACGGCUAACUACGUGCCAGCAGCCGCGGUAAUACGUAGGUGGCAAGCGUUGUCCGGAUUUAUUGGGCGUAAAGCGAGCGCAGGCGGUUUCUUAAGUCUGAUGUGAAAGCCCCCGGCUCAACCGGGGAGGGUCAUUG
rnacentral:rRNA from 1 species